AAGUCGAACGGCAGCACGAGAGCUUGCUCUUGGUGGCGAGUGGCGGACGGGUGAGUAACGCGUAGGAAUCUACCCAAUAGGCGGGGAUACGGACCCGGGAAACGUCGGAUUAAUACCGCAUACCGCCCCGGGGAAAGGCCGGGAUCUUCGGACCGGUCACUAUUGGAGGAGCCUGCGUAGGAUUAGCUAGUUGGUGAGGUAAAGGCUCACCAAGGCGACGAUCCUUAGCUGGUCUGAGAGGACGAUCAGCCACACUGGAACUGAGACACGGUCCAGACUCC
rnacentral:rRNA from 1 species